AGUGAACGCUGGCGGUAGGCCUAACACAUGCAAGUCGAACGGCAGCACAGUAAGAGCUUGCUCUUACGGGUGGCGAGUGGCGGACGGGUGAGGAAUACAUCGGAAUCUACUUUUUCGUGGGGGAUAACGUAGGGAAACUUACGCUAAUACCGCAUACGACCUACGGGUGAAAGCAGGGGAUCUUCGGACCUUGCGCGAUUGAAUGAGCCGAUGUCGGAUUAGCUAGUUGGCGGGGUAAAGGCCCACCAAGGCGACGAUCCGUAGCUGGUCUGAGAGGAUGAUCAGCCACACUGGAACUGAGACACGGUCCAGACUCCUACGGGAGGCAGCAGUGGGGAAUAUUGGACAAUGGGCGCAAGCCUGAUCCAGCCAUACCGCGUGGGUGAAGAAGGCCUUCGGGUUGUAAAGCCCUUUUGUUGGGAAAGAAAAGCAGCAGAUUAAUACCCCGCUGUUCUGACGGUACCCAAAGAAUAAGCACCGGCUAACCUCGUG
rnacentral:rRNA from 1 species